rnacentral:miRNA from 1 species
GAGAGCAGCAGCAAAAAGAAAGAAAGAGGGAGGAAGAGAGGCGAAAGCGAAAAAACAACAACAAAUGAUUGUGCCAUUUAUUUCCUCACAUCUUGUUCACUUCAUCCGUUGGUGCCCAACUAGUCUCUGCCACGUGCCCGUCGCUCCUCAAGUUGACUUCGAGGACGGUACCCAGUUUUCGUGCUUCCUGUUCUUUCUUUCUUUCUCUCUCUCUC